rnacentral:rRNA from 1 species
AUGAACGCUAGCUACAGGCUUAACACAUGCAAGUCGAGGGGCAGCAUGGUCUUAGCUUGCUAAGGCCGAUGGCGACCGGCGCACGGGUGAGUAACACGUAUCCAACCUGCCGUCUACUCUUGGACAGCCUUCUGAAAGGAAGAUUAAUACAAGAUGGCAUCAUGAGUCCGCAUGUUCACAUGAUUAAAGGUAUUCCGGUAGACGAUGGGGAUGCGUUCCAUUAGAUAGUAGGCGGGGUAACGGCCCACCUAGUCUUCGAUGGAUAGGGGUUCUGAGAGGAAGGUCCCCCACAUUGGAACUGAGACACGGUCCAAACUCCUACGGGAGGCAGCAGUGAGGAAUAUUGGUCAAUGGGCGAGAGCCUGAACCAGCCAAGUAGCGUGAAGGAUGACUGCCCUAUGGGUUGUAAACUUCUUUUAUAAAGGAAUAAAGUCGGGUAUGGAUACCCGUUUGCAUGUACUUUAUGAAUAAGGAUCGGCUAACUCCGUGCCAGCAGCCGCGGUAAUACGGAGGAUCCGAGCGUUAUCCGGAUUUAUUGGGUUUAAAGGGAGCGUAGAUGGAUGUUUAAGUCAGUUGUGAAAGUUUGCGGCUCAACCGUAAAAUUGCAGUUGAUACUGGAUAUCUUGAGUGCAGUUGAGGCAGGCGGAAUUCGUGGUGUAGCGGUGAAAUGCUUAGAUAUCACGAAGAACUCCGAUUGCAAAGGCAGCCUGCUAAGCUGCAACUGACAUUGAGGCUCGAAAGUGUGGGUAUCAAACAGGAUUAGAUACCCUGGUAGUCCACACGGUAAACGAUGAAUACUCGCUGUUUGCGAUAUACAGCAAGCGGCCAAGCGAAAGCGUUAAGUAUUCCACCUGGGGAGUACGCCGGCAACGGUGAAACUCAAAGGAAUUGACGGGGGCCCGCACAAGCGGAGGAACAUGUGGUUUAAUUCGAUGAUACGCGAGGAACCUUACCCGGGCUUAAAUUGCAGAUGAAUUACGGUGAAAGCCGUAAGCCGCAAGGCAUCUGUGAAGGUGCUGCAUGGUUGUCGUCAGCUCGUGCCGUGAGGUGUCGGCUUAAGUGCCAUAACGAGCGCAACCCUUGUUGUCAGUUACUAACAGGUUCCGCUGAGGACUCUGACAAGACUGCCAUCGUAAGAUGUGAGGAAGGUGGGGAUGACGUCAAAUCAGCACGGCCCUUACGUCCGGGGCUACACACGUGUUACAAUGGGGGGUACAGAGGGCCGCUACCACGCGAGUGGAUGCCAAUCCCCAAAACCUCUCUCAGUUCGGACUGGAGUCUGCAACCCGACUCCACGAAGCUGGAUUCGCUAGUAAUCGCGCAUCAGCCACGGCGCGGUGAAUACGUUCCCGGGCCUUGUACACACCGCCCGUCAAGCCAUGGGAGCCGGGGGUACCUGAAGUGCGUAACCGCGAGGAGCGCCCUAGGGUAAAACUGGUGACUGGGGCU